rnacentral:lncRNA from 1 species
GGGAAUACCAGGGGUGGGCACUGUCAAGAGACCCAGCUUUGACUUCAAAUGCCACCCAGAGGGACAACUGCUCACUUUCAGAGCAGGAGCAGGAGGCCAGAGGAGAGUGUGAGUCUAACAUCUGCACAGUGAGAAGUCCAGGAGAAGCAAAAAUGAGAUCCAGGCUGGAGCGGCUGUGCCAGAGGGUCCCUAUGAUCCAGACCUCAAGAGAGGGUUCCUGGACCUCCCACAGAAAGGGAUUCAAGACCAGCUGAAACUGAUUAGAGCCAAGAUAGCCAACCAAAUGACUUCAGGAAGACCUCAGGCUUCAUUAUCAUCUCAUUUCCAUGCUAAAAAAACCCAGCUCCCUAGAACAAUGGGAAAUAUUGGGCACUUCAUCAGGCGAGUUCAGGUGCAUUUCUAGAGAUUGUCCAGGUGCUGGUAACAAUAAUAGAGAACCAUCCAUAUCCACAAGAGGCAGAACCUCUUCCAGCAAAAUGGUGCUGCCUCACCCAAAGGUCACACUGGCAUUAGCCCCUCAUCCUCUGGAGUUCAUCUCAUCCAGGCGAAGACAGCUGGCUGGCCUCAGAGGGUGAGACGCAACUCGAGGGUAAAAACAUUUUUACAGGGCAUGGACACAAAAGUGGCCUUUACCUCUGGAUAAGCUUUUAAAACUUCCCAUUUACAUGUAAAGGUGUACUUUCUAUGUGCCACCAAGAAACCUAAAGUGAGUAAAAGGUGUUUCACUUUAAUCAAGUUCCCC